UUAAAUUGAAGAGUUUGAUCAUGGCUCAGAUUGAACGCUGGCGGCAGGCCUAACACAUGCAAGUCGAACGGUAACAGGAAGCAGCUUGCUGUUUCGCUGACGAGUGGCGGACGGGUGAGUAAUGUCUGGGAAACUGCCUGAUGGAGGGGGAUAACUACUGGAAACGGUAGCUAAUACCGCAUAACGUCGCAAGACCAAAGAGGGGGACCUUCGGGCCUCUUGCCAUCGGAUGUGCCCAGAUGGGAUUAGCUUGUUGGUGGGGUAACGGCUCACCAAGGCGACGAUCCCUAGCUGGUCUGAGAGGAUGACCAGCCACACUGGAACUGAGACACGGUCCAGACUCCUACGGGAGGCAGCAGUGGGGAAUAUUGCACAAUGGGCGCAAGCCUGAUGCAGCCAUGCCGCGUGUAUGAAGAAGGCCUUCGGGUUGUAAAGUACUUUCAGCGGGGAGGAAGGGAGUAAAGUUAAUACCUUUGCUCAUUGACGUUACCCGCAGAAGAAGCACCGGCUAACUCCGUGCCAGCAGCCGCGGUAAUACGGAGGGUGCAAGCGUUAAUCGGAAUUACUGGGCGUAAAGCGCACGCAGGCGGUUUGUUAAGUCAGAUGUGAAAUCCCCGGGCUCAACCUGGGAACUGCAUCUGAUACUGGCAAGCUUGAGUCUCGUAGAGGGGGUAGAAUUCCAGGUGUAGCGGUGAAAUGCGUAGAGAUCUGGAGGAAUACCGGUGGCGAAGGCGGCCCCCUGGACGAAGACUGACGCUCAGGUGCGAAAGCGUGGGGAGCAAACAGGAUUAGAUACCCUGGUAGUCCACGCCGUAAACGAUGUCGACUUGGAGGUUGUGCCCUUGAGGCGUGGCUUCCGGAGCUAACGCGUUAAGUCGACCGCCUGGGGAGUACGGCCGCAAGGUUAAAACUCAAAUGAAUUGACGGGGGCCCGCACAAGCGGUGGAGCAUGUGGUUUAAUUCGAUGCAACGCGAAGAACCUUACCUGGUCUUGACAUCCACAGAACUUUCCAGAGAUGGAUUGGUGCCUUCGGGAGCUGUGAGACAGGUGCUGCAUGGCUGUCGUCAGCUCGUGUUGUGAAAUGUUGGGUUAAGUCCCGCAACGAGCGCAACCCUUAUCCUUUGUUGCCAGCGGUCCGGCCGGGAACUCAAAGGAGACUGCCAGUGAUAAACUGGAGGAAGGUGGGGAUGACGUCAAGUCAUCAUGGCCCUUACGACCAGGGCUACACACGUGCUACAAUGGCGCAUACAAAGAGAAGCGACCUCGCGAGAGCAAGCGGACCUCAUAAAGUGCGUCGUAGUCCGGAUUGGAGUCUGCAACUCGACUCCAUGAAGUCGGAAUCGCUAGUAAUCGUGGAUCAGAAUGCCACGGUGAAUACGUUCCCGGGCCUUGUACACACCGCCCGUCACACCAUGGGAGUGGGUUGCAAAAGAAGUAGGUAGCUUAACCUUCGGGAGGGCGCUUACCACUUUGUGAUUCAUGACUGGGGUGAAGUCGUAACAAGGUAACCGUAGGGGAACCUGCGGUUGGAUCACCUCCUUACCUUAAAGAAGC
rnacentral:rRNA from 1 species